rnacentral:sRNA from 1 species
AUGUACCGCGCGUACACUGCGGUUCCUUCACGCCGUCCGCGCCCACCUUACAGCGGCUCGCUACGUUGUGUUAGUC